GCCAACCAAGUGGCCAAUCCUCAUGAAAGAAAAAGACCUUUCUUCCUGCCCGCUAGCUUCAAACUGGGGUCAAAGGCCUUGGGCCAGUUUGAAAAUAAAUAAAAGCCCUGAACAGACAAAAGAGAUUCUGGAGCCAGCCCUCAAUGUAAACACCAGCUUUCCUCUCUGGCCAAACUUCCAGGCACUUCUCUGGGCCCAUCAUAACCUUUCUUAGCCUACAGGCCUGCAGGCUGUGGCCGGUUCUGGUGGGCUUGUGGGAAGUGAUGGAGAGGCCCUGAAGAAAGUCCAGGCUAGGUCUCUAACAGCUGGUUCUCUGAAAAACAAAAUGUGUGUGUGUGUGUGUGUGUGUGUGUGUGUGUGGUGUGUGUGUUCUCAAGCCAUUUUGAAUUUUAUUUUUAUAAAGAAUGUAUAAUAUGCCAUUCACAAAUAACAACACAAUAUCAAUAGUCUUCAUUAUAAAUUCCAUGUAGGCAAUUGAUUCUCAGACAAUGCAUCUAUUUAUUUAUGUGGAACUCUUGUAUCUAGUGUCACUGUGGUUAUAAUUGAAUAACCAAUGCAGCUUUGAUGUGAAUGCUGGUUGAUAUUUUUGUGAACAAGUAAAUAUGAA
rnacentral:lncRNA from 1 species